GUCCACAGUGUUCAGUGCUCCA
rnacentral:miRNA from 14 species